rnacentral:RNase_P_RNA from 2 species
GCGGCCGGGUGCCCCACCAACGCUCCGGAUAUGUGAUGGAGUGAGGAAACUCCGCACUCCCCGUGGCAGUAUGGCCCCGAAAGGGGCACGGGUAGUCCCCGUGGCUCCGGCACAGAAACGACACGGCCACCACCAUGUGGCGAUGAAAUGAGUGGCCUCUGGUAACAGGGGUCUUAAGUCAUGGAGGACGGUGGUGGAGGCGUUGAAACGGCCGUCCCGUACGGAGCAAGGCCCGGUCCCGGGGUGAGGGCCACGCGACCGGUGUGGGCCGCAUAGACGAAUGUGGGGUCGAAACAGAAUGCGGGUUACUACCCGGCCGC